rnacentral:rRNA from 1 species
AUUGAACGCUGGCGGCAGGCCUAACACAUGCAAGUCGGACGGUAGCACAGAGAGCUUGCUCUCGGGUGACGAGUGGCGGACGGGUGAGUAAUGUCUGGGGAUCUGCCCGAUAGAGGGGGAUAACCACUGGAAACGGUGGCUAAUACCGCAUAACGUCGCAAGACCAAAGAGGGGGACCUUCGGGCCUCUCACUAUCGGAUGAACCCAGAUGGGAUUAGCUAGUAGGCGGGGUAACGGCCCACCUAGGCGACGAUCCCUAGCUGGUCUGAGAGGAUGACCAGCCACACUGGAACUGAGACACGGUCCAGACUCCUACGGGAGGCAGCAGUGGGGAAUAUUGCACAAUGGGCGCAAGCCUGAUGCAGCCAUGCCGCGUGUAUGAAGAAGGCCUUCGGGUUGUAAAGUACUUUCAGUGGGGAGGAGGUUUUGUUGGUUAAGAGCUGAUGAGAUGGACGUUACCCACAGAAGAAGCACCGGCUAACUCCGUGCCAGCAGCCGCCGUAA